UUCCGGGGAGGGGCUUGCGCUCACGCACGCCUUUCCGUUGGGAAGGAAGUCCCGCCCCCAUUCUAGACCCCGCCCUUAAUUCGCUGCGCGGGGCGGCUUUCGCAGUCCAGGUACCGAGAGCGCGGACGGUGGGUGCAAUGGGCUGCGCAGAGAAAUCAGCUUCACGGCAGUUAAUCUUUUCUUCGAUGUGGGGAUCACCAGACCAUCUGGGAAAGCUUUCCCACGCACUGUCUCUAUGUCCGGUGACUUUGGGAAGUCCUAAAGGACAAUGGGGGAAUUCACCAAGCUUAGGUCGAGUGAGCCUCCCCACCACCCCGGAGCCAGCAUGGGACACAGCUUAACUCAUUUCUUGGAGGAACUUGCCAGUGUGUCCCCAAGAGCCUGGGUGGCAUAGUCUGUGCCCAACUGGUGCCUGAAGCCUACGGGGACUGCACUUCCUGUGCUCCGGACUUCCUCAUAGGUACUUUUCCAUCUGGCUGUUCAUUUGUAUCCUUUAAUAUCCUUUGUAAUAAAUCAGUAAUGGUGAGUAAA